rnacentral:ncRNA from 1 species
UAGGCAGUAUCCGAAAAGCCUUCAAUAGAGUAGGAG